rnacentral:lncRNA from 1 species
CCUGUGCCUCUAGCAUGACCUGAGUGACACUUGCCUAUCAGGGGAGAUGGAAAGAAAUUCAGGGGAUUUGCACUGUUCUUGAUACUGCAGUACUUUAUCCUAGGCUGAGCAAACAACCAUCUGGCAUUAGGAUUUAUAGCUGACUUUGCUGGGAAUAAUUUCAGAUGGAAUUUCUUUAACAGAAAAGGUAAACUACAGACUUCUAUCUGAAGGAAGAGGAGAUAGUUUAUUCAGGGAAAAUGUUUAUAAUGCAGAUUCUGGCAAACUACAUUAUCAUAAGGAUUUAAAAAUUCUUAAACUUUAUAAAAAGUCAUCUCAAGCUGAAUGCAGCUGUACCCUGGCUGAGAAAAUGUCUUCAUUGUCAACUUUCUCAGACUGUAUAGAGAAGGUAAGAAAUAAAGCUGAAGUAUCAAAAUGAUUGUCUUUUAAAUUCUGGUACUUAGCUGGAUACCCAACCAGUAUUUGAGAAGAACUGCAGGUGAAAAAUGUGUUUUAAUUGGACUGUAAAGGAGACAUUCCAAACCAUUAUUUACAAGGCUUGAAAGGCGUAAUGAAUGUCUGAAACAACUAGGUCAGUUCUUCCUUUAAAUUUAUCCACAUAAUAUAUAUAUUUUAGUUUCCACGAAUGAAGCAUUCAGUUGUAAUGUUUCCAAUCAAAUUCACACUUACAUAUUUCAAGUUUAUUACAAAUCUAACAUCUCCUCAUUUUGUCACAGUGAUUGAAGUCAAUCACAGGACAGGCUGGGAAGUCAAAGGGAUUAGAGCUCUUCCAUUUCAAAGUAUCAGCUACUCCUGAUCUUUCCCAUUGUCAACUAUACAGUGAAUUUCCGGUACCAGAAGUAGGCUGUAACCUGUGUCAUUUACAGUCUCAUUUUUUCACUGUAGUUGAAUUUUAUUUAAAAAUAAGAAUUACUGUAUUAGAAUAAGGAACUCCUGAAAUGCAUAUAAUUCUAGCUCAGCUUUUUAUUUACAAAAUACCAUGUUGCCAUGAUACAAUUGUUAUCUACUAUGUGAAAAUAUCUUUCUUGAAAUUCCAUAGUUGAAAUUACUUUCCUUUGAUGAUCAUCCACCUUCCAGCUUGCAACCUAGCUAUUCUGUUCUGAAACAGAAAUGAGACAAAAUAUCUGCUGAGCCCCCUUCCCCCCCACAUUGUUUCCAAGAGAAAAUGACCAUGCUCUUCUACUUCUGUGCUGAGAAUAAUUUAAAUUUGUAUUAGAAAUAAUAAAUUCCAAGCUUUGAAACUUUGAUAUAAAAUU